UUACAGAAGCAUGGGUUUACCCUUAGGAUCAACAUGGUUGCUUUUAAAUCAUUUCUACUAUACUAAAGGGUACUUUUGUCAUUUCAAGGAGCUGAUGAAUAUAAGUACUAUCUAAUAAUUCCACGUGGCGUUAAUUUCUUCUCUCACCGAAUAGUUUUAGCCCAGACAUAGAGGUUCUUCUGUUAGCUUCUCUCUUUGUUAUUCAAUUUGUUCUUCUAGUACUUUCGUUCAAAUUUACAGUCUAAUUUGAACUUAUGGGGCGGAAGACAACGAAUUGAUGUUCAAGCAGACCUACCUAAACUGAGUGGAAAUAUGACCCUUCUUUUCGUCUAAUUGUGAAGAUGGACAUGAAGUUUGGAAGUGUACACCUUUUGGGAAGUCGGAAUAGAUUCAAUGUUCUCUUGAAAAGGUCACCUUAGAUUGAAAACUGGGAUGAAAAGAAAGAACCAAUUUUAAAGGAAACGAAGAAUCUUGGAUAGACAAAGAGGAUUCAUGCCAAGUUGUUCUGGCCUGCCCUCACAUAUGAGGUCUUACAAAGACUAAUGAUCCAAGAAGAUUGGAACUUUUCUUCUCUGCCUUUUGGAGACAGAUUCCAUGAAAGUUCUACAAAUUUUUAACUCCAUGUAUUUGCAGCUAAAUUGAGUAUUUGAUAUCAUACAUGGGUAUCUCAGCCACUGUCAAGCAAGAUGCGUGCACAUCAUUUCAUGUCUUUGAGCUCUGCUCACGAUGACGAUCCCUUGAAAGCUCUAUCUACCACAGAUGUACUUACCGGUUAAGAACAUGGUUAAAUCCAGGUUUCUUUUUAAAUGAGUUGCAAUGAGUCUCUUCCAUAUGGGAAGAGAAUAUUAUAUCACUGCGGGUGACAUGAAACUUGCUCUACCUUGACACCUUAUUAUCCACGACAUAAUGUGCAUGCAAUGCAUCUACACAGAAUGUUAAGAUGUUCCAUUUUAACAUGAGCAACUCCUCUUAUAAAUUAUGGUGGUAUUAGCCAGAAAUCUACAGCUGCUACAAUGAAACAAAAUCUUCUUUGCGAGAUCCCUGUUACAUCUUCUCAUUCAGGUCUUGGUUUAAUUCCGAAACUGUUGCAGCUCCUGUUCAACUGACCAUCUUUUAAUGCGAGACAAUCAUUGUUUAUGAUGAUGUUUCACAGAACUCAGUCUGAGGAUCUACCUGUUUAUUGCUUGUGGCCUGGGAGGCUUGGUUCGGCUGAGCCUGUGGGUAUGGUAUUUUGUCCGAAAUGCAACAGACGCUACCGCUAAACUGGAUUGGUAGCAGAGAAAUUU